rfam:Erythranthe guttata cultivar DTN x IM62 scaffold_112_contig_5, whole genome shotgun sequence.
UGGAGUAUAGCCAAGUGGUAAGGCAUCGAUGUUUGGUACCGGCAUGCCAAUGUUCAAAUCCUUUUACUCCAU